AAGCAGGCUAGGUUCGCUACCGAAAAGGGUCGGUCCGCUCCGCCUACGCCCCUGCCUGCUUACCUAUUCCAGGC
rnacentral:sRNA from 1 species